CGGCGGACGGGUGAGUAAUGCCUAGGAAUCUGCCUGGUAGUGGGGGAUAACGUCCGGAAACGGGCGCUAAUACCGCAUACGUCCUGAGGGAGAAAGUGGGGGGAUCUUCGGACCUCACGCUAUCAGAUGAGCCUAGGUCGGAUUAGCUAGUUGGUGGGGUAAAGGCCUACCAAGGCGACGAUCCGUAACUGGUCUGAGAGGACGAUCAGUCACACUGGAACUGAGACACGGUCCAG
rnacentral:rRNA from 1 species